rnacentral:rRNA from 1 species
CUCGUACCGCGACCCCAGGUCAGGCGGGG